AUGGAUCAAUCCCAAAGUCUAAGUCAUCAAGCUGGCCAAGCCACUGGACAAGCUCAGGAGAAGGGAAGCAACAUGAUGGACAAGGCAAGCAAUGCUGCUCAAUCUGCUAAAGAAUCUUGCCAAGAGGCUGGUCAACAAAUGAAGGAAAAAGCACAGGAAACUGCUGAUGCUGCCCAGAGCAAAGCUGGCUCUCACAACUGA